GACGAACGCUGGCGGCGUGCUUAACACAUGCAAGUCGAACGGAAAGGCCCUGCUUUUGUGGGGUGCUCGAGUGGCGAACGGGUGGGUAACACGUGAGUAACCUGCCCUUGACUUUGGGAUAACUUCAGGAAACUGGGGCUAAUACCGGAUAGGAGCUCCUGCUGCAUGGUGGGGGUUGGAAAGUUUCGGCGGUUGGGGAUGGACUCGCGGCUUAUCAGCUUGUUGGUGGGGUAGUGGCUUACCAAGGCUUUGACGGGUAGCCGGCCUGAGAGGGUGACCGGCCACAUUGGGACUGAGAUACGGCCCAGACUCCUACUGGAGGCAGCAGUGGGGAAUAUUGCACAAUGGGCGGAAGCCUGAUGCAGCAACGCCGCGUGCGGGAUGACGGCCUUCGGGUUGUAAACCGCUUUCGCCUGUGACGAAGCGUGAGUGACGGUAAUGGGUAAAGAAGCACCGGCUAACUACGUG
rnacentral:rRNA from 1 species